rnacentral:rRNA from 1 species
UACGAAGGGUGCAAACGUUGCUCGGAAUUAUUGGGCGUAAAGCGCACGUAGGCGGCUUAGCAAGUUGGAUGUGAAAGCCCUCGGCUCAACCAAGGAAGUGCAUCCAAAACUGCUGAGCUUGAGUACUUAAGAGGAUCGCGGAAUUCCCGGUGUAGAGGUGAAAUUCGUAGAUAUCGGGAGGAACACCAGUGGCGAAGGCGGCUUUCUGGCCCGUUCUUGACGCUGAGGCGCGAAAGCUAGGGUAGCAAACGGG